UGGGGAAUAUUGGACAAUGGGCGAAAGCCUGAUCCAGCCAUGCCGCGUGUGUGAAGAAGGUCUUCGGAUUGUAAAGCACUUUAAGUUGGGAGGAAGGGCAGUAAGCGAAUACCUUGCUGUUUUGACGUUACCGACAGAAUAAGCACCGGCUAACUCUGUGCCAGCAGCCGCGGUAAUACAGAGGGUGCAAGCGUUAAUCGGAAUUACUGGGCGUAAAGCGCGCGUAGGUGGUUCGUUAAGUUGAAUGUGAAAGCCCCGGGCUCAACCUGGGAAAAGCAGCCAAAACUGGCCAGCUAGAGUAGGGCAGAGGGUGGUGGAAUUGCCUGUGUAGCGGUGAAAUGCGUAGAUAUAGGAAGGAACACCAGUGGCGAAGGCGACCACCUGGGCUCAUACUGACACUGAAGUGCGAAAGCGUAGGGAGCAAACAGG
rnacentral:rRNA from 1 species